rnacentral:rRNA from 1 species
GCAUAUCAAUAAGCGGAGGAAAAGAAACCAACAGGGAUUGCCUUAGUAACUGCGAGUGAAGCGGCAAAAGCUCAAAUUUGAAAUCUGGGGCCUCACAGCCUCCGAAUUGUAAUUUCACGAUACGUUUUCGACUGAAGGCUCUGCUUUAAGUUCCUUGGAACAGGACGUCACAGAGGGUGAGAAUCCCGUGAUAGGUGGAGCCUGAUGCAUAUGAUACGUAUUCAACGAGUCGAGUUGUUUGGGAAUGCAGCUCAAAAUGGGAGGUAAAUUUCUUCUAAAGCUAAAUAUUGGCGAGAGACCGAUAGCGCACAAGUAGAGUGAUCGAAAGAUGAAAAGCACUUUGAAAAGAGAGUUAAAAAGUACGUGAAAUUGUUGAAAGGGAAGCGCUUGAGACCAGACUCAAUCUGUAGUGAUCAAUUUGGCUUCUGUCAGAUGCACUUGCUACUUAUUGGGACAGCAUCGGUUUUGGCGGUGGGAUAAAGUCUUGAGGAAUGUAGCUAUCUUCGGGUAGUGUUAUAGCCUCUUGAGUAAUGCCACCAGCUGGGACCGAGGACCGCGCCGCAAGGCUAGGAUGCUGUCAUAAUGGUCUUCAGC